UACGGAGGGUGCAAGCGUUACCCGGAAUCACUGGGCGUAAAGCGCACGUAGGCGGUUUUUUAAGUCAGAUGUGAAAGCCCCGGGCUCAACCUGGGAAUUGCAUUUGAAACUGGGGAACUAGAGUGUGUGAGAGGGGGGUAGAAUUCCAAGUGUAGCGGUGAAAUGCGUAGAGAUUUGGAGGAAUACCAGUGGCGAAGGCGGCCCCCUGGCACAACACUGACGCUCAGGUGCGAAAGCGUGGGGAGCAAACAGG
rnacentral:rRNA from 1 species